GAGUUUCCACAUAAGAACACUUAUAUGUGCCUCAGUGCCAGGCCCCAAGCUCCACAAGGAUAGAGGCACCUUUGUCUAAGGUUCUAAUUUAUCUGUGUUUCAUUUGGCUGUUGAUUACUAUCCUUUAAUAUCCUUUGUAAUAAAUUGGUUAUCUAGUGAGUAGGUGGGUUUUCCUGAGUUCUUGAGCUGUUCCAGUUGUUCUAGCAAAUUAAUCUAACCCAAGGAAGGGAUCAUGGGAAUCUCUGAAGUACAGAAGACAAUCACCAUCUAGAGAAGUUGAAGAUACUCUAUGUGAAAGGGAUGUGGAAAGAGGCCCUUGAGGAUAAAGGCCAAACAGAAGAGAAAAGGAGGUGUCUUAGCUGAAGCCAGCGGCAACUAUGAAGAUGUAAAUGAAGACAUCUUGGAUGUGCUAGCCCUAACUGAAUUGCCAGCUGAAUGUAGCUACAUGAAUGAUCCCAGUCAAAACUAAGUGGAGCAGAAAAUCAACCCAUAGAAUUGAAAGAAAUAAAAUAUCAUAGUUGUGUAACUAACUUUUAGGAUGGCUUAUUUUUUGCAGAUAUAGAUAACUUACAUGGGUUUUUUGUAAACAUUUUUCCCCAGCAUUUGAUUGGUUUUUUCAUCCUGUUAACCUGUCUUUUGCAUAGCAUAAAAUUUGAAUUUUUAUGAAGUUCAGCUUAUCAAUUCUUUCUUCAUGAAUCAUGCCUUUGUAUAUGUCUAAAAAGUCAUCAUCAAACCCAAGAUUAUCUAGAUUUUCUGUUAUGAUAUCUCUAAGGAAUUUUGUAGCUUUGUGUUUUACAUUUAGGUUUAUAAUCCAUUUUGAGUUAAUUUUUGUGAAGGGUGUAAGAUCUGUAUCUAGAUUCAUUUGUGUGUGUUUGUGUGUCUUUGUGUAUGGAUGUACAGUUAGCUGUUCCAACAUCAGUUGUUGGAAAGACUACCUUUUCUCCAUUGUAUCCUGAAAGAGACUAUGUUUGAAUUAAAAAACAGUACGACAAACAAAACAGUUAAACUUUCUGUGGUGAUGGUAUGAGGAAAUAUAUGUAUAUAUAUUUUUCUAGCCUGUUACUAUGUAAAUGCUUCCUUAUUAUAAAUGUGUACAAUCAAUAAAGUACCAACUUCUGAAGAUAUAUCUAAAGAACAGCAGACAGACACAGAUAACCAC
ensembl:lncRNA